ACAGAGGGGGCAAGCGUUGUUCGGAAUUACUGGGCGUAAAGGGCGCGUAGGCGGCCAACUAAGUCAGACGUGAAAUCCCUCGGCUCACCCGAGGACCUGCAUCCCAAACUGCUUGGCUUGAGUAUGGGAGAGGAUGAGGGAAUUCCUGGUGUAGCGGUGAAAUGCGUAGAUAUCAGGAGGAACACCGGUGGCGAAAGCGCUCAUCUGGCCCAAUACUGACGCUGAGGCGCGAAAGCUAGGGGAGCAAACGGGA
rnacentral:rRNA from 1 species